rnacentral:rRNA from 1 species
GCCCUUCCUACGGGAGGCAGCAGGAGGGAAUCUUCCGCAAUGGACGAAAGUCUGACGGAGCAACGCCGCGUGAGUGAAGAAGGGUUUCGGCUCGUAAAACUCUGUUGUUAAGGAAGAAUGGCACAUGGCGUAACUACCACGUGUGUGACGGUACUUAACCAGAAAGCCGCGGCUAACUACGUGCCAGCAGCCGCGGUAAUACGUAGGUGGCAAGCGUUAUCCGGAAUUAUUGGGCGUAAAGCGCGCGUAGGCGGUUUCUUAAGUCUGAUGUGAAAGCCCCCGGCUCAACCGGGGAGGGUCAUUGGAAACUGGGGAACUUGAGUGCAGAAGAGGAGAGUGGAAUUCCAUGUGUAGCGGUGAAAUGCGCAGAGAUAUGGAGGAACACCAGUGGCGAAGGCGGCUCUCUGGUCUGUAACUGACGCUGAUGUGCGAAAGCGUGGGGAUCAAACAGGAUUAGAUACCCUGGUAGUCCACGCCGUAAACGAUGAGUGCUAAGUGUUGGAGGGUUUCCGCCCUUCAGUGCUGGAGUUAACGCAUUAAGCACUCCGCCUGGGGAGUACGACCGCAAGGUUGAAACUCAAAGGAAUUGACGGAAGGGC